rnacentral:rRNA from 1 species
AACACAUGCAAGUCGAGCGGUAAGGCCCUUCGGGGUACACGAGCGGCGAACGGGUGAGUAACACGUGAGCAACCUGCCCCUGACUCUGGGAUAAGCGGUGGAAACGCCGUCUAAUACCGGAUACGACCCGCCACCUCAUGGUGGAGGGUGGAAAGUUUUUCGGUCAGGGAUGGGCUCGCGGCCUAUCAGCUUGUUGGUGGGGUAACGGCCUACCAAGGCGAUUACGGGUAGCCGGCCUGAGAGGGCGACCGGCCACACUGGGACUGAGACACGGCCCAGACUCCUGCGGGAGGCAGCAGUGGGGAAUAUUGCGCAAUGGGCGAAAGCCUGACGCAGCGACGCCGCGUGGGGGAUGACGGCCUUCGGGUUGUAAACCUCUUUUACCACCAACGCAGGCUUCCAGUUCUCUGGAGGUUGACGGUAGGUGGGGAAUAAGGACCGGCUAACUACGUGCCAGCAGCCGCGGUAAUACGUAGGGUCCGAGCGUUGUCCGGAAUUAUUGGGCGUAAAGAGCUCGUAGGCGGCGUGUCGCGUCUGCUGUGAAAGACCGGGGCUUAACUCCGGUUCUGCAGUGGAUACGGGCAUGCUAGAGGUAGGUAGGGGAGACUGGAAUUCCUGGUGUAGCGGUGAAAUGCGCAGAUAUCAGGAGGAACACCGGUGGCGAAGGCGGGUCUCUGGGCCUUACCUGACGCUGAGGAGCGAAAGCAUGGGGAGCGAACAGGAUUAGAUACCCUGGUAGUCCAUGCCGUAAACGUUGGGCGCUAGGU